rnacentral:rRNA from 1 species
GCAAGUCGAACGCUUCUUUUCCCACCGGAGCUUGCUCCACCGGGCAAAAGAGGAGUGGCGAACGGGUGAGUAACACGUGGGUAACCUGCCCAUCAGAAGGGGAUAACACUUGGAAACAGGUGCUAAUACCGUAUAACAAUCGAAACCGCAUGGUUUCGUUUUGAAAGGCGCUUUACGGUGCCGCUGAUGGAUGGACCCGCGGUGCAUUAGCUAGUUGGUGAGGUAACGGCUCACCAAGGCCACGAUGCAUAGCCGACCUGAGAGGGUGAUCGGCCACAUUGGGACUGAGACACGGCCCAAACUCCUACGGGAGGCAGCAGUAGGGAAUCUUCGGCAAUGGACGAAAGUCUGACCGAGCAACGCCGCGUGAGUGAAGAAGGUUUUCGGAUCGUAAAACUCUGUUGUUAGAGAAGAACAAGGGUGAGAGUAACUGUUCACCCCUUGACGGUAUCUAACCAGAAAGCCACGGCUAACUACGUGCCAGCAGCCGCGGUAAUACGUAGGUGGCAAGCGUUGUCCGGAUUUAUUGGGCGUAAAGCGAGCGCAGGCGGUUUCUUAAGUCUGAUGUGAAAGCCCCCGGCUCAACCGGGGAGGGUCAUUGGAAACUGGGAGACUUGAGUGCAGAAGAGGAGAGUGGAAUUCCAUGUGUAGCGGUGAAAUGCGUAGAUAUAUGGAGGAACACCAGUGGCGAAGGCGGCUCUCUGGUCUGUAACUGACGCUGAGGCUCGAAAGCGUGGGGAGCAAACAGGAUUAGAUACCCUGGUAGUCCACGCCGUAAACGAUGAGUGCUAAGUGUUGGAGGGUUUCCGCCCUUCAGUGCUGCAGCUAACGCAUUAAGCACUCCGCCUGGGGAGUACGACCGCAAGGUUGAAACUCAAAGGAAUUGACGGGGGCCCGCACAAGCGGUGGAGCAUGUGGUUUAAUUCGAAGCAACGCGAAGAACCUUACCAGGUCUUGACAUCCUUUGACCACUCUAGAGAUAGAGCUUCCCCUUCGGGGGCAAAGUGACAGGUGGUGCAUGGUUGUCGUCAGCUCGUGUCGUGAGAUGUUGGGUUAAGUCCCGCAACGAGCGCAACCCUUAUUGUUAGUUGCCAUCAUUUAGUUGGGCACUUUAGCAAGACUGCCGGUGACAAACCGGAGGAAGGUGGGGAUGACGUCAAAUCAUCAUGCCCCUUAUGACCUGGGCUACACACGUGCUACAAUGGGAAGUACAACGAGUCGCGAAGUCGCGAGGCUAAGCUAAUCUUUUAAAGCUUCUCUCAGUUCGGAUUGUAGGCUGCAACUCGCCUACAUGAAGCCGGAAUCGCUAGUAAUCGCGGAUCAGCACGCCGCGGUGAAUACGUUCCCGGGCCUUGUACACCCCGCCCGUCAC